CUCCGCGGGAGCUGGCUGCGUCACAUGCGAGGCCUCCGGGAAGGAGGGGCGAAGGUCGUCAGAGAAACCGGCUCCUGCUUGGCUGCCGAGGGGCUCCCUCCGCCAACAGGAAGCAAGGGAGGGAAGUGGCGCUUCCUCUGGGCAGAUGGUCCUAGGGAAACGGACUUGGCGUCCAUCUACCACAUGGGAGGUCCGCGGUUCAAACCCUGGGUCUCCUUGACCGGUGUGGAGCUGGCCCAUGCGCAGUGCUGGUGCGCGCAGGGAGUGCCGCACCACGCAGGGGUGUCCCCCGUGAAGGGGAGCCCCACGCGGAGUGCGCCCGUAAGGAGAGCCGCCCAGCGCAAAAGAAAGUGCAGCCUGCCCAGGAAUGGCGCUGCACACACUUCCCGUGCAGCUGACGACAACAGAAGCUGACAAAGAAACAAGACGCUGCAAAAAGACAGAAAACAGACAACCGGGGGAGGGGAGGGGAAUUAAAUAAAUAAAAAUAAAUCUUUAAAAAAAAAAUAGAUGGUCCUCAACAAUUCUAUAGUAUCUGUUAUAACUCAGUGUGGGUGCAGGACCUUUUCCCUAUUCAGUGUCAUUGCACUUGGAAAUUUAGGCA
rnacentral:lncRNA from 1 species